UACGAAGGGGGCUAGCGUUGCUCGGAAUCACUGGGCGUAAAGCGCACGUAGGCGGAUUGCUAAGUCAGGGGUGAAAUCCUGGAGCUCAACUCCAGAACUGCCUUUGAUACUGGCGACCUUGAGUCCGGAGAGGUGAGUGGAACUGCGAGUGUAGAGGUGAAAUUCGUAGAUAUUCGCAAGAACACCAGUGGCGAAAGGCGGCUCACUGGCCCGAUACUGACGCUGAGGCACGAAAGCGUGGGGAGCAAACAGGG
rnacentral:rRNA from 1 species